GCGGGGCAGCGGGCGCGGGGCGGCGCCGGCCCCGGGCGGCUCUCCCACUAGGGGUAGCUGUUGCCUGAACGCCGGAGCGCUCCCCUCUCGCCGCUUGCCUCGCCCAGCGCAGCCCCGGCCGCUGGGCGCACCCGUCCCGUUCGUCCCCGGACGUUGCUCUCUACCCCGGGAACGUCGAGACUGGAGCGCCCGAACUGAGCCACCUUCGCGGACCCCGAGCGCGGCGGCGCGACUCACCGCGGAGGCGCCCGGACGCGUCAAGGCAAAGCCUGAACCAGGCCAGGAGGGUCUGUCCCCCGUCUGGGGAGCUGAACUGCCCGGGACACUGUAGCAGUCGCGGCGACUUGUCUGGAGCGGCGGGGCUUGAGCCCAAGUCCGAAGCCGCCGCCGCCAGCGUCCCGUGCGUCUGCAGCCCCGGGACCUGCCGUGGAACUUCUUCUCGGGACGGAGACCGCCCUAGCCGCCCGGGCCGAGGUAGGCGCUGGCUGGGCUCGAUAGGGCGCGGGCGAAUCGCUUUCGGCAGCGAAGGAACGUGUCGGGAGAAGCCAACCGCAGGACCAGGGCCCUAGCGGGCGCGCGGAGACGCCUGCCUUGGGCGGAGGUCCCCCCCUCCGGUUUUCGUGACUCUGGCAGGGCCCUCUGUCCCGUGAGCUCCCCCCUGGACCUGUGGCUCCAGCAGGUCAAGCACCCGAGUGUGCCUGGAGGAUUGGCGGCGGGGUGGCCUGAGAAAGUAGCCCCUCUUCUCCAUCUCCCAGUCCGGGGAUUUCUCUGCUGUCUGGGGCAGGGGCGCACACCCCAGGAACUUACCACCUAGAGGGAAGCCAGCCCGGUCUCUCCCCCUUGCCUCAGUGCUCCCGAGCUGCCCCUCACCACUCUGGGUAGGGGUCUUUCAGGUGGGCUAGGGAAUUCUCCUUGGAAGGCCCCCUGUCUGCUGCCCUCCAUCAGGGCACCUGUGAGUUAGCCGGUCAUCCCCUUUUCUGGCCUCUUUUUUGCGGGGAGGAGAGUAGAGAGAGAAGCCUCCUACUCGGCAGGUCUCUGAGAGGAGGUUUGGGGGGACUUCUGAGGUUGCCCCUCCUGGGCAGAGUCAAGGGGUGUUGAGGGUUCCAACUUUUACUGGACAAUCUCUCAAGCUCGGACUCCCUGAGUUCUGGGAGGUUUCAGUGUAGGGCUUGUGUCCUGCCCCCACCCACACAGCAUUUGGUGCAGGCACAUAGGUUGGUUCCCCAAACCCUUUUUCCACAGUUAGUUUCAGAAAAUGCAUAAGCCACCUAAGGCUGGGAGAGCCUUUCUGUGCUGCCUGAGAUCUGGUGGCAUGUGCAUGCAUGUGUGUGCAAGUGUGUGUGUGUGCAAGUGUGUGUGUGUGCAAGUGUGCGUGCGCAUGUGCAUGUGUGUGGAAAGUAUGGUCUGGGUGGUUGUAAGACUGGCCCCUCUAGUCCCCUUUGCAGGCCCAGCCCAAUAAGAAGCACCUGAUCCACACUCUUUCUAGCCCCAGGGAUGGUUAGGGAAGCAGCCCUUCUUGAGGGCUGUCAUCUGUUCUGGGGAUCUAUGGCUGCCUCUUGGGCCCACAGACUAUACUCCAUACCUCCGGACUCCAUAAUAUUGGACAGGCUGGAAGGCCCAUUUGACUCCUGCAGCCUCUUGUGCAGGUGAGGACAGACCCAAGGUGCGGGUGAUACUGGCCUUUGGGACACAGAACCUGGCUCAGUAACUCCCACUCCAGUCGCCUUUUCCCUCUUCUCAACCCUCUCUCCUCCGGAGCAACACUUGUCCCUCCUUCCUUCCUCUCUCUAGGGCUGCACCCCCAGCUCACCUUAGACCUGGCCCUUCCUACCUGUUGCCGCUACUGUCUUGUCCCAUCCCAGUGGUCAGGAGGGAGAGUACUGGCCAAAGGCCCAGCUCCACCUGUGACUCAGGGAAGCACCAGGCAUCACCCAGAGGUCUCGGCCCCCAGAGGCCUGGCAGGCUCUGCUGUGGGGGAAGCAGAGUUCGAACUGGGGCUGUUUCUCCUGCCCUGCGACCUGACUGGGCCUCCCCCGCCUCCCUUUCUGUCUGCCCUCUUACAAUUCCAGCAGGGGGCGGGCAGGGGAAAGAAAAGGAGGGACAAGUUGGACGGGGUCCAUUUGGUGUCCAGGAACAACUUGGAGAGAGGCAGGGAGGGGACAGGCAGCAGGGCCCUGGCAGAGCGAGGGGAGGGCUGGCCUUUGGAUGGCCUUCUGAUCCCAAACGCAUCCUCCUGGGGCAGUCUGCCCUUGAAAGGUAGGGCUUGGUGAACCCUGGUGCAGAGCCCCCCCCCCGCCCUCGCCACCUCACUGCCCCAGUGCGGGGCAUGGUAGGCGGGUUUGCAAUGGGUACAGUCUCUCUCUCCAUUCCAGUAGAGCAGCUCCCAGGGCCCAGAGAGGCUGUCACUGAGACUUCCCUCUGGGGGGUGGGUCCUGGUGGCCCUGCGUUCCCCUGCAGGAGGACCUCCUGAGGCUUCGGGCAGGAGCUGGUGCACACCUGGAGGAGAGUGCUGGUGAACGACAGGUGUGUGCCUCAGUGUUCUUGCUGCCUGGGUGUCAACCCUGCUUCACCAUUGGCCCUUUGUUUCCGUCCCCUCCACUGGCCUCUUAAAGCACAGAGACUCUCCGGGUACUUUCCUUCCUCUGGGCCUCCGCUCAUGCUAUUCCCUGCUCCCUUCUUCUACCUGGAGACCCCCAUUCCUCCUCCUUCUCCACUGCCCUCACCUCCACCUGGGCCCUCUUAGCUCCCGGGAGAUGGCUGAGCCCCACUCCCCGCCCGCUAGUCAUCCUCUUCAGCAGUCCUCCUGGAGCUGUCCUCGGCAUGGCAGCCUCCACAGCCCCUGGGUUUCACCCCUGGUUUCAAGUCUGCCUUAGACUCCAGACCUGCCCCUCCCAGGCUGGCCCAGAUGGAUCCUCUGCAGUGACUAACCCGAACCGGCACCGGCAGUGAGCCGGGGCAGCAUGUCGGCAGCCGGGGCUGAGCACCAUUGGUCAGGACCUGCCGCUGUGAGCAGACAACACUUCCUGGGAAGUCCCCUUGGGGCGUGGUGUCUGGUGAAUGCACCUGUCACCUGGUCACUGGGCCAAUCUGUUUCCCUUUCUGGGCUAAACAGGUCUUCCCAUGGGUACCUGGGCCCUCCCAGGGAGGUGUUUACACUUCUCAUUUACUUCAGAAAUGAAUUCUUCUAUCCACACGCUUGUCUAGGUUGAGCAUGGGGACACCCUGCAGGGGAUGGGGUGGGAGAUGGCCGAGGGACCCAGAGCUCUGGUCUGAGAGGUGUCCUCAACAUGACAGAUCUUCCUCCCUCUGAAAGUUUGAGGCAGGCAUGGGGGAGGUGGCAGGACUCUGGGGUGACUGGGCAGGCUGGGAUCCCAGCCAGGAUGGCUUGUCAGGGCCCCAGGGCCUGGAUCUAGCAGGGGUGUUUGGCAGCAUUUGGGGAUUGGAGAAGGUCUGGGGCUCCUGGCCAAGGAAAGGAGAAGGCCUAGGAGGCAGUGCCCUGGCUACUUGCUGUGUGACCCUGGGCAUCUCUGGCCCCUUCUCAGGUCUCAUCUGCAUCAGGUGUGGGUUGGGUGACGACUUUGCAGUGCCUUUCCCAUGCGGUCAUUCUGCAGGCCAGAAGGUUCUAGGAAGUUCUAGGAGACCCUGUUCUGGCCCUGCCUGCUGUUCUGCGGCUGCUGAGAGCCCCACUUGAGGAUGAAGGUGCCGCAGGACUGGUCCUACCUGGCCUCAUGCUCUGCCACUUCCACCCAGUACCGCCUUCGCCUGUCCACUUCCUGCUGCAGCUCAGGGCCCUCCAGCCCGGCCUGGGCUCUGACUCGUUCCUGGCAUGAGUGCUGCUGUGCUCCCUGGUGCUCAGCCAGAUCCCAGAGCACAGGACAAUGCCUUGCCAGAGGUUGCCUUUGGGUGCCUGUGUCCCGCCUGGAGCUGGGUGGGGCACUGGGAAGCUGGGCUACUUGUGCCAAGACAGACCGUGCUCUGAGCUGGGCCCUGAGGCUGGCUGGAGGGCCACCUUGCGAGUCAGUCCCUCCUUUCCAUCUGUGAUCCUCUCUGGAAAAAGGUGGGGUUCACCUGACCAGCAGAUAGGCAUCCCAAGUCCAUGUGCUUCUCUGAGCCUCAGUUUCUUCACUGGAGAGGCGGGCCUAAUGUUUGAAUGUGUUGUGUUCACCAUGACAUGAGGGGCAAGUGUAAAGUCUAUAUGUGUGCAUGUGUGAGUUCAUGUGUGUGUGUGUAUGUGUGUGUCUAUUUACUUAAACCCAGCCUUGUUCCAGAGUGGAUUUCAGGAUUCCUCUAAGAAGCUUUGGAAUGCCAGAAGAUACCACAAGUGAGAAGAAAAAAUAAAACAAGAGGAAGGACAUACUUCCCAUAUGGGGACAAAGUACAGCCACAGUGUCCUCCACUUGGGCCAUGGAACAGCCGCAGGUUUUGCCCUGAUUACCCUGGUGGUAAAGUCUGAUUGGCUUUGACUCCCAGUGUCCAAAAGAUAAACAUGGGUUGUGCAGUGGAGCCGCACACAUGCCUGUGCAUGGCCAUGCCAGGUCAGAAACCCAGCCCCUCUGCUUGGGAGGCACGCAGGGCUCUGGCUGAAGCCUGAAGCUUGCGAUCGUCAGAGCACAGACGUCCCAGGGCCGUGUGAAGUUAGUGAGAUGAGGUGUACAGAGAGAGCUCGGGGAGGAGAGGGAGUCUCGAUUGCUGUCACCCGUGGCUCGGAGAUGCCUGUGACAGGUGACAGUGAUGUGCAUGGUGGUGUGUUCACUGAUGAUGCUACACUGUAGGCCCAGGGCUGUGUUGUGGUGACAGGUGUCCUCCUGAACCGUUUGACCUUUAGGGAGGCCCCCUUCACUCAAGCACUGGUCAUGGAGGGGCUCUGGUCACACAAGGACUCAGGCACGUUUUUGCCCCCGAGGAGCCCCCCAGCCUGGCAGGGCCCAGGGGCAGGGUGGGUGGGAUGGGUGUGCUCCAGCAGGUAGCAGGGACACCUGGCAAAUGGGGUCGAAUUGGGAGGCGUCUCAGGAGGUGGCCAUGGGCAGAGGGACAGGCUUCUGGUUCUUUGCCACUGUCCUCUUUGAAGUCUGGCACCUGGGAACAGACUGCCUGGGACGUCUGUGCUCUGACAAUCGCAAGCUUCAGGCUUCAGCCAGAGCCAAUCCUGCUUGGGCAGGAAACUGUGGGCUCUCUUCUCGCAGGGGGACAAGAGUCAUUUGAGGUACCUUCUGAGCAGGUGGGGGACAGCAAAGGACAAGAGGAGGCUGUGCCUGUGCAGCUGUGUGUCCCGGCACAGGCGCCACUUCACUCCCACGCCACCACAUCCUCACUGGGUGACUUUGGGCAAGUGACCUGAACUCUGUGCCUCCAUCUCAUCUUCUGUAAAAUGGAUGGCACAUCUGAGCCUACCUCCCAGGCACGGUGUUAUGAGGACAGGUGGGGGCACGUUCACACAGUCCCCAGAAUGGUGCCCACGGCACCAGAGUGCUCCGUAGGGAAAUAGUGGCAGCUGGCACUGAGUCCCCAACAUAAGCCGGCACUGUGGGCCAGUGCUACGACUCCUGCUUUUGGGCACUUCACAAGCUAUGGCCAGGGGCCCACCACCUUUGGCCACUCCUUCCCCACAAAAUUCCUGCCAGGGCCCUGCCAGAUCAAUAAGUCACAGGACUUCUCCAUCACAGAAGCCCAACUCUGUGACACCUCUUGGUCCCAAGCAUGUUCCUAUCCCCCAUUCAUGUAUUUUGUUAGGACCCUUUAGGGUUGCACGUGGCAGAAACUUAAUCCACACUAACUUCAGCAACUUUAGCAAAGAAGGAAUGUACUGGCUCCAGUCAGUGAAAAGUCCAGGAGGAGCCAUGCCUUCAGGCACGGCUGCAUCCAGGCACUCAACAGGUGCAUCCAGGCACUCACCAGGUGCAGCCAACACCUUGGCCCGCAGGCUGUCAGCUCCUGCCUUCUGCUGCAUCCGCGCCACUGUAGGUGGAUUUCUCCGCACAUGGGUGAGAUGGCCCCAGGAGCUGUGGCUCAUGGAGUCCUUGUAGCACCUGUCCUGGCCAUCCCCAGAAGAGAAAGCAUCAUUUCCCAUGGCAGAAAUCUGGUGGAAACAGGAGAGAGGGAGUUGGCUCUCUUUGGUCGGAUGUGGGUCUUGUGCCCAUCUCUGGGAGAGAAAGGUCCUCACUCACAGAAACUGAGCAGAUCCUGGAUUGGAUGGGGAGAGAUGCUUUCAGAGACACACACAUUCACUGCACUCACUGCAAGGAUAGUGACAAUAGUAGAAGCUGCUCUUUCUUGAGAAGUUAUGACGUGUGCCAGAAAAUUCUACCUUUUAAGGAUAUAGAGAGGUUUUUAUCAUCCCCAUUUUACAGAUGACAAAACUGAGGCUCCGAGAGGUGAAGUGAUUUGCCUAUGGAUGCAUAGCUAAGGUGUCCGAUGGAUCUGAUGGAAAGGUGGCAGGCGAAAUGCACCUGGCCUGAGCAUCAAGGGCCGUGAAUGCAGUGGCAGUCGUAGCUAUGUGGUCGGAGUGGACUAGGAUGGUCCUUCCACCAAGAAGGCUGGGCCUUCCUGCUCCUCAUUGUCCAGCUGCAGAAAGUGAUUGGGCUUGACACAACUGCCCCUUCCUCCACACAUUCCCAAAUAUACCUACCCCUCCCCAACCCAAUCCUCCUCGCCAGACUGUGGCUCCCGGAUGACAGGGCAGAGUUGGACUCACCUGUGUCUGCCAGGCCAGCUCACCAUGGGGGCAGGUCCCAAGAGGCCUCUGGAUUUGGACCAACUUCAGUGUGAGCUUGAACAAGCCCUUAGCCUCCCUCAGCCUCCGUUGCAUGAGGCGUUGUGCUGGUACGUCUCAGAGCAGGUGGCGCUACCUGGUGAGCCUGUCCAUCAGACAGAGCCUGGAUGGCUCUGUCCAUCAUCUUUGUCACUGUAAUGCUGGUUAACAAAUAAACACGAAACAAUGAGUGGUCAUU